UAGGUCCUACGGGACGCAGCAGUGGGGGAUAUUGCACAAUGGGGGAAACCCUGAUGCAGCAACGCCGCGUGAGUGAAGAAGGUCUUCGGAUUGUAAAGCUCUGUUCUUGGUGAAGAUAAUGACGGUAGCCAAGGAGAAAGCUCCGGCUAACUACGUGCCAGCAGCCGCGGUAAUACGUAGGGAGCGAGCGUUGUCCGGAUUUACUGGGAGUAAAGGGUGCGCAGGAGGCUCUGCAAGUCAGGCGUGAAAGCUAGGGGCUCAACCCCUAAACUGCGCUUGAAACUGUGGAGCUUGAGAGAAGUAGA
rnacentral:rRNA from 1 species